UAUAGUUUAUAAAAAUAUUAAAUUGCAAAUUUAAAGAUAUUCUUUCAGAAUUA
rnacentral:tRNA from 1 species